ACUUGUCCUGUCACGACGGUUACUCAUGACAAUGGUGGCAAAACUGGUGCCUGGAGACCGAUGAACUUCACUCCGUAAUCGAUUAGGCAAACACUUAGCAAGCAACUCCUCGGGGGCGGGAGUUCUUGGAGGCGCCAGAGGGACAGGCGAUUAAUAAAUAAACAAAUACAUCAGCAGGUAAAAUAAAAACUACAUCCAAGGGUGAUGUUAUAGAGGGUGUUGCAGUUUGAAUGUGCAAUGUCCCUCACUCAGCUCGCAGUCCAUGUAUUUGAAGAGUUGGUUUACGGUUGGAGGCACUGUUUUGGGGGGCUGUGGAUCUUUAGGAGGUGGGCCUGACUGGCAAAAACAGGGUGUUGACCUAUACAGGUUACAUCUAGUCCCAGCCUACGUCUCUGCCUCCUUAUUAGCAGCACCAUGUGAACAGUGGCCUGCCACCAACUCCAGCUACUACAACUGGGAAGCUCCUGCUGGCAGGCUUUCCUCACCAUGAUGAACUGAGACUUGCUGAAACUGUGACCCAAAAGAAAUCCUUCCUCCCUUAAGCUGCUGUGUCAGGGGAAGAGAAGAGAGUGGGCCAGGGGGCACUGGCAACCAAUACCCCGCAUAUACAGAGAAGUGCAAAGGCCAGGAUGUCUGGCAGUCCCUGAACCCAGCCAGCCUCAGUGGCUCUCACUCUGCUUUAGACAGUGUCCUCACGGAGAUUUGACAUCCUGGUGUAAGUAGCACAGACAGAUGAAGAUGCAGCCGCACAAACUCAUGGGGAGGCAAGGCCUGGCCCCACACACCCAGCAAUGUUCCUGUGAUACCCAGCACCCUCUCUCUCCGCUGCCCCUUGCUCUGUCUUGGGCUUGGGAAGGGGUUUGGUGGGGGUGGGGUGGGAAGAUGGCAAUAAAGUGGGAAUUUAAAAUUAAACAAGAUCUCACGUGUGUGCAUGCUUCCCCGCUAAUCAUAGGCAGCAAAUGUCCAUUCUGCUAUUAAAAAGGAAAAACCACUCCAUUCUGACUUGACUUUGCAUGUUUUCCCCACUUUUGUAAGGAAACCACUUCCCACAAAUCACCCCUUAUCCUUCGUAAAUGUUCAGUUCUCUGGUCUUACCAGAAAUUUUGCACUGGCAGAACUUAGACAAGACAACAGAAAACAAACAAACAAACCCUUCUUCCCCUCACUGUUGCCCUCCAGCUUCUAGAUUAUAUAUAGUCUGUCCACCAGAGAACCUUCCACAAUCACUGUCUUCCACGUGUCAACCCACGACAAUCACUCCUGCUACAGAA